rnacentral:rRNA from 1 species
UACGUAGGGGGCGAGCGUUGUCCGGAAUUAUUGGGCGUAAAGAGCGUGUAGGCUGUUCGGUAAGUCUGCCGUGAAAACCUGAGGCUCAACCUCGGGCGUGCGGUGGAUACUGCCGGGCUAGAGGACGGUAGAGGCGAGUGGAGUUCCCGGUGUAGCGGUGAAAUGCGCAGAUAUCGGGAGGAACACCAGUAGCGAAGGCGGCUCGCUGGGCCGUUCCUGACGCUGAGACGCGAAAAGCUAGGGGAGCGAACAGG